CUUGAACUUUAUAAGAGGUCCAGCCUGCCCAGUGACUCUGUUCAACGGCCGCGGUAUCCUAACCGUGCGAAGGUAGCGUAAUCACUUGUUCUUUAAAUGUGGACUAGUAUGAAUGGCACUACGAGGGUUAUACUGUCUCCUUUUUCUAAUCAGUGAAACUAAUUUUCCCGUGAAGAAGCGGGGAUAUAAUUAUAAGACGAGAAGACCCUAUGGAGCUUUAAACAACCUAGCAAUUACUUCUAAAAUUAUAAAUUUCAGAAUAUUCAUUUUUUAAGCAAUAUGUCUGCAAGUUUUUGGUUGGGGUGACCAUGGAGAAUAACACAACCUCCAUAUUGAAUGAAUUUUAUUCUAAGCUGAAAAUUACUAAUUGAAGCAUCAACACACUGACAUCUAUUGACCCAAUUUAUUUGAUCAACGAACCAAGUUAC
rnacentral:rRNA from 1 species